rnacentral:rRNA from 1 species
CACGUAGGGUGCGAGCGUUGUCCGGAAUUAUUGGGCGUAAAGGGCUCGUAGGCGGUCUGUCGCGUCGGGAGUGAAAACUCGGGGCUUAACUCCGAGCCUGCUUCUGAUACGGGCAGACUAGAGGUAUGCAGGGGAGAAUGGAAUUCCUGGUGUAGCGGUGAAAUGCGCAGAUAUCAGGAGGAACACCGGUGGCGAAGGCGGUUCUCUGGGCAUGACCUGACGCUGAGGAGCGAAAGUGUGGGGAGCGAACAGG